rnacentral:tmRNA from 1 species
GGGGGCGACCUGGUUUCGACGGGGAUAGUUGAUGGCAAGGUUGCAUGUCGAGCACUCCGGUGACUCGUUAAACCGCCGGUACACUAAAAUACUCGCCAAUAAUCACGAGUACGCACUAGCCGCGUAAGGCUAGCGUCUCACCGUUUUCUCUCCUGCGGAGGCGGAUGGGGCGACGGUCAGCAGGAUAGCCGACUCUUUUGGCCCGAAGGAGACGAGGCGAAUACACAUUCGGGCUGGUUCGGCCGGAACCUUUUCCGAGGGGGUCCGUUCGGACGAGAAACAAAACUUGGAAUAAGCAUGUAGACCCCUUGUCUGAAGAUUUCCGGACGCGGGUUCGAUUCCCGCCGCCUCCACCA